AUUCGGAAUAUAACUAACUAACUAACUUCCUUCCUUCCUUCCUUCCUUCCUCCCUCCCUCCCUCCCUGCCUUCCCUUCCUUCCUGCCUUCCUUCUUCCUUCCUCCCUUUUUUCUUUUCUCCCUUCCUUCCUUCUUAAUAUGUUUUUGGCCUUUUCUUUAUAUAUGUGGCCUAGCAAUAUCCUGUGUUUGGAAAAGUAUAAACCUAAGGCAUCACCUUUACAGAAAAUAUCUUCCACGGAAACAUCUAAAGGCCACAGAUCAGCCCUGGGGUUCAGAGGGAUCCUGACGGCUACUCCUCAAGAUCCUCUCUGUUGUGAUUCAUCCCCCCCGGGCCCUACAGUUUCUCCUUCCUGACUCUUACAUUUCUUUGGAUGGCAUCAUUAUUUACCUGUCUCCUCCCAUAGUUAGGUGCCAAGCACUGUGGAUUCUGCCCCUCAGUGUCCAGACACCCAUUUUCCUUCCCACUGUUCCUUCCCCAUGGAGAAGCCUGUGGCUGGCUGACAGCAGAGAGAGAUGCUCAACUUGGAGAAGGUGUUACCUGGGCCAGGUGGGGAAGGUUUGUUUGCAGAGCAAAGAAGUGAAGGAAGUAUUAACCCUUUGCAUGGCCUCCUGAGAAUCCGACAAGACGUAAAUAGCCAAGAAUAUCUGUGGAACUUAAUCACUGAGUUACAGUAUUUAUCACUGCAAGUGUGUUGUUCAUUGACACUAUAAAGCCAUGUGGAAUUAAGCAGCCUUGAAACACAAAAUGGAGAAAGGCUGAGAGCUGAGAAUUGUU
rnacentral:antisense_RNA from 1 species